rnacentral:rRNA from 1 species
CGUAGGUGACCUGCGGAGGAUCAUUAUCGUACAACGGAGGUGCGAGGGCUGUCGCUGUCCUUCAAAGGUCGUGCACGCCCGAGCCCUCUCACAAUCCAUCUCACCCUUUGUGCAUCACCGCGUGGGUCCCCCUUUGCGGGAGGGCUCGCGUUUUCACAUAAAACUCGAUGCAGUGUAGAAUGUUUAUUUUUGCGGUCACACGCAAUCAAUACAACUUUCAACAACGGAUCUCUUGGCUCUCGCAUCGAUGAAGAACGCAGCGAAAUGCGAUACGUAAUGUGAAUUGCAGAAUUCAGUGAAUCAUCGAAUCUUUGAACGCACCUUGCGCCCCUUGGCAUUCCGAGGGGCACACCCGUUUGAGUGUCGUGAAAUCCUCAAAAACCCUCUUCUUUGAUCCUUUUUGGUCGGGAAAAGGAUUUUUUGGACUUGGAGGUUUAAUGCUCGCCUUCGCGUUUGAAGGCGAGCUCCUCUCAAAGGAAUCAGUGGGGUCUGCUUUGCUGGCC